GUUCUCUUACUUGUGGCAGAUUUUACAAUAAAAAGGAAGUAUUGCUUUUUUGUAUCCAUCAAAAAAGGUAUUGCUGAAACUGUGAAACAGAGUGUGAAAUGAAGUAAUGCAUUAUUUUAUUUAAUAAAAGGUGUCUUUCUGAGUAAAUAAAAAUAAAAAUCACCCUGUGUUUAUGUUUUUUGUUAGAAUUAGUGGGUUUUCAAUUUCAAAAUAUUGGACAUUGAAUAGACAUUGUGACCUACUUGACUGACAUCUAGCUUAUUUGGAGUGGAAUUUUAAAGUAUUAUUUUUAAGUGGAGCCUAAUAACAUGGACUUAUAUUUUAAUAAAAAGUAUUCUUUUGUGUUUUAAUUAUAAUUCUAAGGCACAUUUUUAUUGGUAAAGGCUAAAAAAGGUAAUUUAAUAAUAUUAUUGCGAACGUCACAUCUUUUUCGUCCAUUGGGGUAUGUUACGAUCGCAAUUUAUUUGUUGGUUCUCAGACGGCCCGUUGUUAUUUUUAACUCGGGUUUUAUAAAUAAUUGAUAUAAAUAGCAAUCACAUUAAAUUUUGAUGACGAAAGGGGGUCAAAGGACUUUCGGAAUCAAUAUCAUUGGCUGUUUUAGUUUUUGCGAACGUUACUGCUCUACGUUUCCGUCCAAAUCAAUGUCACGUGAGCAAUAUAUAUUUAGAUCUGUAACUCUCCUGUAUAGGAGUUACGAUAUCGCCCUUUGCAGAAAUGGAUGCGGAGCCGGUUCCCUCACAUAAUGGGAAAGCAAAGAAGAUGCAGUCCUCCAGAACUAACAGAGACGAUAAAUUUUUCAAACAUUAAAAUAUUUUUAAGCUUCUUAGUCUAGGCAGUAUUUUCGACUUUUGAAUGCAAAUGCAUCAUGAAUUAAAUGGGCAAAGCAAGGUGUUCUGAAGACUACAAAAGACUUUCUUUACCAAAAUCCAUGGUGAAAGUCAUUGAGGCAUUGAUCACUAUG